UGGGGAAUAUUGCACAAUGGGCGCAAGCCUGAUGCAGCCAUGCCGCGUGUAUGAAGAAGGCCUUCGGGUUGUAAAGUACUUUCAGCGGGGAGGAAGGGAGUAAAGUUAAUACCUUUGCUCAUUGACGUUACCCGCAGAAGAAGCACCGGCUAACUCCGUGCCAGCAGCCGCGGUAAUGCGGAGGGUGCAAGCGUUAAUCGGAAUUACUGGGCGUAAAGCGCACGCAGGCGGUUGAUUGAGUCAGAUGUGAAAUCCCCGGGCUUAACCCGGGAAUUGCAUCUGAUACUGGUCAGCUAGAGUCUUGUAGAGGGGGGUAGAAUUCCAUGUGUAGCGGUGAAAUGCGUAGAGAUGUGGAGGAAUACCGGUGGCGAAGGCGGCCCCCUGGACGAAGACUGACGCUCAGGUGCGAAAGCGUGGGGAGCAAACAGG
rnacentral:rRNA from 1 species